GAUGAACGCUGGCGGCGUGCUUAACACAUGCAAGUCGAACGGAAAGGCUCCUGCUUGCAGGGGUACUCGAGUGGCGAACGGGUGAGUAACACGUGGGUGAUCUGCCCUGCACUUCGGGAUAAGCCUGGGAAACUGGGUCUAAUACCGGAUAGGACGAUGGUUUGGAUGCCAUUGUGGAAAGUUUUUCGGUGUGGGAUGAGCUCGCGGCCUAUCAGCUUGUUGGUGGGGUAAUGGCCUACCAAGGCGUCGACGGGUAGCCGGCCUGAGAGGGUGUACGGCCACAUUGGGACUGAGAUACGGCCCAGACUCCUACGGGAGGCAGCAGUGGGGAAUAUUGCACAAUGGGCGCAAGCCUGAUGCAGCGACGCCGCGUGGGGGAUGACGGCCUUCGGGUUGUAAACUCCUUUCGUCAGGGACGAAGCGAAAGUGACGGUACCUGGAUAAGAAGCACCGGCUAACUACGUGCCAGCAGCCGCGGUAAUACGUAGGGUGCGAGCGUUGUCCGGAAUUACUGGGCGUAAAGAGCUCGUAGGUGGUUUGUCGCGUCGUUUGUGGAAUACCGCAGCUUAACUGCGGGGUUGCAGGCGAUACGGGCAUAACUUGAGUGCUGUAGGGGAGACUGGAAUUCCUGGUGUAGCGGUGGAAUGCGCAGAUAUCAGGAGGAACACCGAUGGCGAAGGCAGGUCUCUGGGCAGUAACUGACGCUGAGGAGCGAAAGCAUGGGUAGCGAACAGG
rnacentral:rRNA from 1 species